AAUAAUUUGUUUUUUAAUUGGAAACUUGUAUGAAUGGUCAUACGAGGGAUUGACUUUCUUUAUCUUAUAUUAAUUAAUUUUAUUUCUCUGUGAAAAAGCAGAGAUGUAUUUAUUAGACGAUAAGACCCUUUAAAACUUUAUUUAUUAUAAAAGCAUGAGUUUUUAGUUGUUUUUUUGUGCUAUUUUUAGUGAAUUUUGUUGGGGCGACAGGUAAAUUUAUUGAACUUUACUUUUUUAUAUCACAAAUUAGUGUUUGUUUGAUCCAGGUUUAUAUUCUGAUUAAAAGCUUAAGUUACUUAAGGGAUAACAGCGUAAUCUUGCCGGAGAGUUCUUAUUUAUGGCAAGGUUUGCGACCUCGAUGUUGGAUUAAAAUUAAUGUUAGGUGUAGCUUUGAUAAACAGGGGA
rnacentral:rRNA from 1 species